rnacentral:lncRNA from 1 species
UCUUGCAAUCCCAUUGUGAGUGCUAUAAACAGAUUUCACAGUUUGCACAGACUGAUGCACACUUGGCAUAUUCGAUGUUGUUUGAGUAAUAAAUGGCCUAACUGUAUGAUCUCUAGCAGUUUGAAGAGCUGUUUGUGGUGCACCUGUGUCAGCAAUCCCCUCAGCCUUCACUGGAGCAUGAGUCGGAACCUUGCUUUCUGCCCCCAUCUUAGACAAAGAAUUGGGCUGUAAAGACCACGUUGGAGCAUUCACCAGAGGAUGAUUCACAGAAGCAUUUGCU